GCCAGCAGCCGCGGUAAUACGGGGGGUCCGAGCGUUAAUCGGAAUUACUGGGCGUAAAGGGUCUGUAGGUGGUUUGUUAAGUCAGAUGUGAAAGCCCAGGGCUCAACCUUGGAACUGCAUUUGAUACUGGCAAACUAGAGUAUGGUAGAGGAAUGGGGAAUNUCUGGUGUAGCGGUGAAAUGCGUAGAGAUCAGAAGGAACACCAAUGGCGAAGGCAACAUUCUGGACCAAUACUGACACUGAGGGACGAAAGCGUGGGGAUCAAACAGGAUUAGAUACCCUGGUAGUCCACGCUGUAAACGAUGAGUACUAGCUGUUGGAUUCGGUGUAAAGGAUCUAGUGGCGUAGCUAACGCGUUAAGUACUCCGCCUGGGGACUACGGCCGCAAGGCUAAAACUCAAAGGAAUUGACGGGGACCCGCACAAGCGGUGGAGCAUGUGGUUUAAUUCGAUGCAACGCGAAGAACCUUACCUGGUCUUGACAUCCUGCGAACUUUCUAGAGAUAGAUUGGUGCCUUCGGGAACGCAGUGACAGGUGCUGCACGGCUGUCGUCAGCUCGUGUUGUGAAAUGUUGGGUUAAGUCCCGCAACGAGCGCAACCCCUAUUGAUAGUUACCAUCAUUAAGUUGGGUACUCUAUUGAGACUGCCGCUGACAAGGCGGAGGAAGGUGGGGACGACGUCAAGUCAUCAUGGCCCUUACGACCAGGGCUACACACGUGCUACAAUGGGUAUUACAGAGGGCAGCGAAGUAGCGAUAUGGAGCGAAACUCAGAAAGGUACUCUUAGUCCGGAUUGCAGUCUGCAACUCGACUGCAUGAAGUCGGAAUCGCUAGUAAUCGCAGGUCAGAAUACUGCGGUGAAUACGUUCCCGGGUCUUGUACACACCAACGGGUCACACCAUGGGAGUGGGUUGCUCCGAGAAGUAGAUAGUCUAACCCU
rnacentral:rRNA from 1 species